GAUGAACGCUAGCUACAGGCUUAACACAUGCAAGUCGAGGGACCGGCGCACGGGUGAGUAACACGUAUCCAACCUGCCCUUUACUCGGGGAUAGCCUUUCGAAAGAAAGAUUAAUACCCGAUGUAACGGAUGGGGAUGCGUUCCAUUAGGUUGUUGUGGAGGUAACGGCUAACCAAGCCUUCGAUGGAUAGGGGGUCUGAGAGGAAGGGUCCCCACAUUGGAACUGAGACACGGGCCAAACUCCGACGGGAGGCAGCAGUGAGGAAUAUUGGUCAAUGGGCGGUAGCCUGAACCAGCCAAGUAGCGUGAAGGAUGAAGGCUUAUGGGUCUUAAACUUCUUUUAUAUAAGAAUAUGUAUUAUAUGAAUAAGGAUCGGCUAACUCCGUGCCAGCAGCCGCGGUAAUUC
rnacentral:rRNA from 1 species